GGUUUCGUGGUUGAGUGGUAAGGGCACUUGUCUCUAAAGCAGGAGUCCCAGGUUCGAUCCCCGGUCGAGGAACUA